AAUACCGUGCGCGAAGCGCUGGGAGUAAGACUACGAGGGAUAAUCUUCGUGGUCAAAAGGGAAACGACCCGGACCAUCGGCUAAGGUCCCUGAGUCAUGCUCAGUUGAAAAGGUAGUCAGAAUGCAGUGACAGCCAGGAUGUUGGCUUAGAAGCAGCCACCAUUUAAAAAGUGCGUAACAGCUUACUGGUCGAGGAUUCUGGCGCCGAUAAUUAUCGGGGAUAAGCAUGACACCGAAGCCGUGGGACUCGUAUGAGUCGGUAGGAGAGCGUUGCUGUCAGCGUCGAAGUUUUCCCGUAAGGGUUGAUGGAGCGGCAGCAAGUGAAUAUGCCAGAUUGAGUAACGAUUAAUGCAGUGAGAAUCUGCAUCCCCGUAUGCCCAAGGUUUCCUGGGGAAGGUAAUUCCGCCCAGGGUUAGUCGGAGCCUAAGGCAAGGCCGAAAGGCGUAGUCGAUGGACAGCUGGUUAAUAUUCCAGCACCCUCGUGUAGGUUGAUGGCAGGUGACGGAUUUCCAUAUCUCAACGGGACAGUGAAGCGUCCAGGCCGUAUGGCCGGUGUUGGGUGAGGAAGUCUCAAGAAAAGCCCUGCCGGACGUUUACGAGGUCCGUACCAAAACUGACACAGGUGGGCGUGGCGAAUAGCCUCAGGGGCUCGAGAAAACGGUCCUGAAGGAACUAGGCAAUUUGACCCCGUAAGUUCGCGAUAAGGGGGCCCUACUCGCAAGAGAGGGCGCAGAGAAAAGGCUCUGGGAACUGUUUAUCAAAAACACAGCACUGUGCUAACUCGCAAGAGGAUGUAUACAGUGUGACGCUUGCCCGGUGCCGGAACGUCAAGGGAGCUGGUUAGCGCAAGCGAAGCUAGCGACCGAAGCGCCGGUAAACGGCGGCCGUAACUCUGACGGUCCUAAGGUAGCGAAAUUCCUUGUCGGGUAAGUUCCGACGCGCAUCAAUGGCGUAAUCACUGGAGCACUGUCUCCACGACCGACUCGGUGAAAUAGUAGUGGCGGUGAAGAUGCCGCCUACCCGCAGCAAGACGGAAAGACCCCGUGCACCUUUACUGUACGCUUGCAGUGGUCAUGGAUUUGUUCUGCGUAGCAUAGGUGGGAGCCUUUGAAGCCGAACUCUCGGGUUCGGUGGAGGCACUAGUGAAAUACCACUCUGAAUGAAUUCGUGGCCUAACCCUGAAUCCCGUGAAGCCGGGCAGGGAACACUGCAUACCGGGCGUAUCGUGACUGGGAAAC
rnacentral:rRNA from 1 species